CGUGUACACGACGUGUCGCCGUCCUCAAAACGCCGAGCUCGCUUUCAACUCUUCCCAGCUGCAUUGCCUCCUCUCCAUUACCACUUCCGUGUAGACCAAAUCGAGAGAGAGGGAUCGCCUCGCCUCCGCCGCCCUCAUCCUUGCCGCCGGCCGUGGAGACGACAACCGUCGUCGUCAUCACUUGGUUUGGUGGGAACGCGACCUCGCCCGCGGGAGCUCCGGAGCGCACACAGUGCACCGCCGCCACGAGAUCUCGUCGCCGAUUCCGGUUGCUGUGGAGCAAAUAUAACUGAGACAUCGCGCCAUCGUUAUCGUCUCAUCACCACGACCAAAACCCCUCAAGAAUCCCCAAGAUUUAUGCACCGUGGAUGGAGAUCGACUUCAUCUUCCCCAACUCCGGCCGCCGAGCUUCAUCUUCGAUUUCUUCCUCUCCGGUGAGCCUCGCAUCAAUUCUUUGCUCGUACACCAUCCCUGUGACCUCACUGACCUCAUGGACACAUAUGCAUGUCACUUCGAUGAGUGGAUCGAGCCGUCGCCGUUUUCGCGGAGUUGCGCACCGCUGACGGGACAUCCUCUGCAUCGUCGUCGCUGUCCAGGCCUACCCGUACCUCGUCCGAGCUUCGAUGACUGCUUAAUCGGUGAAGAAGUGAUUUAGGUGCUGAUAUUUUCCAGUUACAAUGUUUUAGACUUAGUCUUUAAGUGAUGCGGGUUUCGACUGCUUCUUCUAGGAUCUGAACUUAAUGGGGGUAAACCCCUAGUCGGUGUGCUUGUGGAUUGGGUAGACAAGCUUCUGCUGUUCUAUUAUUUAUUUGGCCGGUCAGCCAGUGUAACUAAAGUAGAUGUAGUUUAUAAUCGCUUCCAUCUUAUUUGUGUUUGCUAUGUAUAACUCUGCUUAAUAUGAAAGUGUGAAUCUAGUGCACAUCCUGAAAA